UUGGAAAUGGAGAUUCCAGGGCCUGGCCUAUACCUACUGAACCAGAAUUGUUGGGAGUGGGGCCCAGGAAUCUGCAUUUUAA
rnacentral:miRNA from 14 species